rnacentral:tRNA from 1 species
GCCUGAGUGGCUCAGUCAGUUAAGCAUCUGACUUUGGUUCAGGUCAUGAUCUCGCAGUUUGUGGGUUCAAGCCCCUCAUCAGGCU